AUUGAACGCUGGCGGCAUGCCUUACACAUGCAAGUCGAACGGCAGCGCGGGAGCAAUCCUGGCGGCGAGUGGCGAACGGGUGAGUAAUAUAUCGGAACGUGCCCAGUAGUGGGGGAUAGCCCGGCGAAAGCCGGAUUAAUACCGCACGAGACCUGAGGGUGAAAGCGGGGGAUCGCAAGACCUCGCGCUAUUGGAGCGGCCGAUAUCAGAUUAGCUAGUUGGUGGGGUAAAGGCCUACCAAGGCAACGAUCUGUAGUUGGUCUGAGAGGACGACCAGCCACACUGGGACUGAGACACGGGCCCAGACUCCUACGGGAGGCAGCAGUGGGGAAUUUUGGACAAUGGGCGCAAGCCUGAUCCAGCAAUGCCGCGUGC
rnacentral:rRNA from 1 species